GACGAACGCUGGCGGCGUGCUUAACACAUGCAAGUCGAACGAUGAACCCGGAGCUUGCUCCGGUGGAUUAGUGGCGAACGGGUGAGUAACACGUGAGUAACCUGCCCUUGACUCUGGGAUAACUGCGGGAAACUGUAGCUAAUACCGGAUACGACCCUCGGCGGCAUCGCCAGGGGGUGGAAAGAAUUUCGGUCAAGGAUGGACUCGGGGCCUAUCAGCUAGAUGGUGAGGUAACGGCUCACCAAGGCGACGACGGGUAGCCGGCCUGAGAGGGUGAACGGCCAAACGGGGACUGGGGCACGGCCCAGACUCCUACGGGGGGAAGCAGUGGGGAAUAUUGCACAAUGGGCGCAAGCCUGAUGCAGCAACGCCGCGUGAGGGAUUACGGCCUUCGGGUUGUAAACCUCUUUUAGUAGGGAAGAAGCGAAAGUGACGGUACCUGCAGAAAAAGCACCGGCUAACUACGUGCCAGCCGCCGCCGUAA
rnacentral:rRNA from 1 species